rnacentral:rRNA from 1 species
AUGCAGCUCGUCUCGGGAGGGCACACGGUUGUGGCGGUUAAUGGGCAGAUUAGUAAUUUCUUUGCUAACGGUAGGGGCCUUAGACAAGGAGACCCGGCGUCCCCCCUUCUCUUUAACUUCGUUGCGGAUGCUCUUUCUCAUAUCCUUUCUCGAGCAGCUAGUGCUGGUCACAUUACACCUGUUAGCUCUCACUUGAUACCCAAUGGCAUCACUCACCUUCAAUACACGGACGACACCAUUAUUAUGGUUGAACUUAAUGAGGCCAGUCUCACGAACCUGAAAUUCCUUCUCCUAUGCUUUGAAGCGCUAUCGGGUCUUAAAAUUAACUUUUCAAAGAGUGAAGUAAUUGUGACUGGGGUACUCGACUCUGAAGCUCAGAGAGUGGCGCAUGUUCUGAACUGCUCCCUUGGUUCUGACCCUUUCAAAUACCUGGGUCUCCCAAUCUCCCCUCUCAAGCUAUUGGCAAAAGACUUUGCCCCGACAGUGACUAAAGUAGGGAUCAGAGUCCUGCCGUGGAGAGGCCGUUAUAAUUCCCAGGCGGGCAAGGUUGCCCUCACUAAUGCGUGCCUCUCCUCCCUUGCGAUGUUUCCAAUGGGCUUUUACCUCCUGUCCGGAGGGACCCAUGCUAGUUUCGACAAGCAUAGGGGUGCUUUUUACUGGAACUCCUCUGACAAUAAAUGCAAAUAUUGGAUGGUUAAGUGGGAUCUAAUAUGUAGGCCUAAGAACAUGGGGGCUUAG